UGAAGAAUGAACUCCUUUUAGCUUGUGUGAUUGUGGGUAGCUAUGCUGAGUCCUGGUUUCCUUUUAUGACUCACAUGCAGAUAGAAAGGGUAGGAUCUGAUGUGUGGGAACAACAUUCUGAUCAAGUAUUCAGAAAAUAAGUGAGUAAAUGGAAGGAAUUGUCAGGCAGGCUCGAAAAGCAAAGGGUAGAGGUGCUUCAAAUCGGGAAGAGCCAUGGUUUGUGGUGACAGGAAGAAGCAAGGACCAAGGAGAUGGAGACAGAAGAGCCACCCAGCUUCCUGGAUGAUGCUAAAGCCAUUCUCUCACACUCUGAUGCCCACCGCUCCACGUGUGACCCCACAGAGGGACCUCUCCACACCCGGCCACUUGUGCCUCCUUCGGCCACCUGGGCUUGCUGUGGGCUCUUUUCCUCCACUGUGAGCUGCUCCUGCCUGGGAACUUCACUGGCCUUGCCAUCAUGGCCCUCGUGGUGUAGGUCCAGCUUUUCCCACUCAGUGGACUUUCAUGUUACGUGAAGUGUAAAAUGUCCUUUUCCUAAAUAUAAUUUUUCCCCUUUAUUAAAA